AGAAUGAACGCUGGCGGCGUGCUUUACACAUGCAAGUCGAGCGAGGCGACCCGCAAGGGUCAGUCGAGCGGCGAACGGGUGAGUAACGCGUGGAUGACCUGCCCUGAGGUGGGGAAUAACCCGGGGAAACUCGGGCUAAUACCGCAUAUGACCGUGAGGUCAAAGCGGGUCGCAAGAUCUCGUGCCACAGGAGGGUCCGCGUUCGAUUAGCUAGUUGGUAGGGUAAUGGCCUACCGAAGGCGACGAUCGAUAGCCGGCCUGAGAGGGUGAUCGGCCACACUGGAACUGAGACGACGGUCCAGACUCCUACGGGAGGCAGCGAGGUGGGGUAAUUUGGCGCGAAGUGGGCUUAACGCCGUAGACGCAGCGAACGCCGCGU
rnacentral:rRNA from 1 species